UUCCAGACUCCUACGGGAGGCAGCAGUGGGGAAUAUUGCACAAUGGGGGAAACCCUGAUGCAGCGACGCCGCGUGGGUGAAGAAGUAUUUCGGUAUGUAAAGCCCUCUCAGCAGGGAAGAAGAAUGACGGUACCUGACUAAGAAGCACCGGCUAAAUACGUGCCAGCAGCCGCGGUAAUACGUAGGGGGCAAGCGUUAUCCGGAUUUACUGGGUGUAAAGGGAGCGUAGACGGUAUGGCAAGUCUGAUGUGAAAACCCGGGGCUCAACCUCGGGACUGCAUUGGAAACUGUCGGACUAGAGUGUCGGAGAGGCAAGUGGAAUUCCUAGUGUAGCGGUGAAAUGCGUAGAUAUUAGGAGGAACACCAGUGGCGAAGGCGGCUUACUGGACUGUAACUGACGUUGAGGCUCGAAAGCGUGGGGAGCAAACAGGAUUAGAUACCCUAGUA
rnacentral:rRNA from 1 species